rnacentral:lncRNA from 1 species
UUGAUGUAAAUUCUAGUAGAGGGAUAAAAAAGGAUGAGUUGCGCUUUGCACUUGUGAAUCUUAAUUCUUCGCUUAAUAUUGAUGAACCGUUUGUGCUUGCAACCCAAUCAGUACAAGUAUUUCAUGUGGCAGACCCUGUUGAAAAGGAUUGGCAUGUUGCAGUGAUAACAAAACCUAGAGAUUUGUUUAAUAUGGAAGAGAAUGAGGUUGGAGAUGAUGGAGAAUUACUUGUAGCUAAUGAAUCAUAUAGUGGUCGAAGAUUAGAGGAACUUCUCGAAAACUUUGACAAUACUGCUUUGGUUAGAGAUAAUGUGCCUGGGACUGUGAUCAAUACUCCUUUAGAUGUAGCAAAAGAAAAAUCAAAUGCUUCUAGUGAUGAUUUUGAUAGUGAUGAUGAUAGUAUUUACUAAUAGUGAUUUUGAUUAAUAAGCUAAGAGUUGAAUUACAUUUCAGAUUUUUUUCUUUCUUUUUGUUGACACAAGUUUUGUUGUUUAAUAACUUGUUUU